rnacentral:rRNA from 1 species
UACAGAGGCCUCGAGCGUUAGGCGGAAUCACUGGGCUUAAAGCGUGUGUAGGCGGAUCGUUAAGUACCUUGUGAAAUCCCACGGCUCAACCGUGGAACUGCUUGGUAUACUGGCGGUCUUGUGCAACCUAGGGGCGAGCGGAACAGAUGGUGGAGCGGUGAAAUGCGUAGAUAUCAUCUGGAACGCCAAUGGUGAAAACAGCUCGCUGGGGGUUUGCAGACGCUGAGACACGAAAGCCAGGGGAGCGAACGGGAGUUAAGAUGACCCGAGUAGUCCCG